rnacentral:rRNA from 1 species
AUCUCAACAAGCCUAAAAUAUUAGUAGAAAGUAUGAUCUUUAAACUUGAAGAAUUUGGCGGUGAUCAAUCUUAUUAGAGGAACCUGUUUUUGAAUCGAUACACCACGUGAAAUCUUACUCACUUUAAUAAGCCUAUAUACCGUCAUUAUCAGAUGAUUUCAAAAGAGUUAUAAAUCAUUAAAGUUUAUAAAGCAAUAAAUUAAAUUAGAUCANGGUGUAGCUUAUAAGUGAGUUAAAAUGGGUUACAAUAAAAUAUAUUUAUUAUGAAUUAGCUAAUAUGAAAAAUGCUAUGAAGGAGGAUUUAAUUGUAAUAAAAGUUCAAUAAGCUUAANAGAUAUUAGCCCUAGAUCAUGUACAUAUCGCCCGUCACUCUCAAA